AAUGUGACACAACCAUCUCCUCACUUGCAGGGUUGAUCAGUGAUUAUCAACCACGCAUGAGAACAUCCAGAGAUGUGAAUUACUCCAGACAUUUCCAAGUGGCCAGAAGGACACAUUUCCCAGUAUCCAAAAUAGGAUAGAAAAGAGUAUUGCUCAGCUGCUUCACCUCAGAGGUGUCUGAUGGCACUUUCCACAAUCAGCACUGACAGUUCAAGGAUGAAAGGAAACAAGCCUGUGGACCAGAAGGAUCAAUAGUGUGGUGUGACCAGGCUUUUGUUUGGGAAAUGGAGUGCUGAGGUGUGUCAGACUGCCUAAGCCCAUCUGUGUCCCUGUGAAUACAGGCACAGCAACUCGUGUAUCACAUCAACCACCCAAAGAAAAAUUAAUUUUCCUGCAUCAGUUUGAGGGAUAAGAGACCUUCAUUUGGCCAUAAAACAAUCUUUCAAUAUCAUGUCCUAUUGGACUGAGCUGGACUCAGAGGCAAAUCAAAGUAAGUAAAAGCCUUCAAUUUGAGAGAUGGAAAAUAGCAGAAAAAGGAGAAAAUAAAUAACUGAAAUCUUCUCACUGUGUGACACCUUAUGAGAUGGUCCUUUGUAGAUAUAUAACAUGUUAAACUGAGGCAGAAUCUAAGGAGGUAAUUAAAUGCCUUGUAAUUAGAGCAAGAUGACUAUGAAGCUGUUAGACCAAGAGUAAGAAAAGGCUGUUCAAGUCAACCUUGAACUAUCUCUCUUUUGGACUACAUGGGAGAUGUAUGUGAGAUUUGGACCAGAUCCCAAAGCUAGUUCAUGGCCUUCUCUGCCUAGCAAAGUCUGGAUUGGCAUUUUUCUCCAGCUGCCUGAUGGAAGCCCAGGACACUGGUUAGGAAGGAAAGUCCAAGCACAACUGUACCAGCAAGUAGCGAAAACUCAGGAAA